UACGGAGGGAGCUAGCGUUGUUCGGAAUUACUGGGCGUAAAGCGCACGUAGGUGGCUUUGUAAGUUAGAGGUGAAAGCCCGGGGCUCAACUCCGGAAUUGCCUUUAAGACUGCAUCGCUAGAACGUCGGAGAGGUAAGUGGAAUUCCGAGUGUAGAGGUGAAAUUCGUAGAUAUUCGGAAGAACACCAGUGGCGAAGGCGACUUACUGGACGACUGUUGACACUGAGGUCGCGAAAAGCGUGG
rnacentral:rRNA from 1 species